rnacentral:rRNA from 1 species
CAACAGGGAUUGCCUCAGUAACGGCGAGUGAAGCGGCAAUAGCUCAAAUUUGAAAUCUGGCUCCUUCGGGGUCCGAGUUGUAAUUUGUAGAGGAUGCUUCGGCUUCGGCCCCGGUCUAAGUUCCUUGGAACAGGACGUCACAGAGGGUGAGAAUCCCGUAUGUGGUCGGGGCCCCCGCCAUGUGAAGCUCCUUCGACGAGUCGAGUUGUUUGGGAAUGCAGCUCUAAAUGGGAGGUAAAUUUCUUCUAAAGCUAAAUAUUGGCCAGAGACCGAUAGCGCACAAGUAGAGUGAUCGAAAGAUGAAAAGCACUUUGGAAAGAGAGUUAAAAAGUACGUGAAAUUGUUAAAAGGGAAGCGCUUGCAAUCAGACUUGCCCGCGGUUGCUCAGCCGGUCUCUUGACCGGUGCACUCUUCCGCGGUCAGGCCAGCAUCAGUUCGGGCGGUCGGAUAAAGGCCUUGGGAAUGUGGCUCUCUUCGGGGAGUGUUAUAGCCCUUGGUGCAAUGCGGCCAGCCUGGACUGAGGUCCGCGCUUCGGCUAGGAUGCUGGCGUAAUGGUUGUAAGCGGCCCGUCUUGAAACACGGACCGAGGAGUCUAACAUCUAUGCGAGUGUUUGGGUGUCAAACCCGUACGCGAAAUGAAAGUGAACGGAGGUGGGAACCUUAGGGUGCACCAUCGACCGAUCCUGAUGUCUUCGGAUGGAUUUGAGUAUGAGCAUAGCUGUUGGGACCCGAAAGAUGGUGAACUAUGCCUGAAUAGGGUGAAGCCAGAGGAAACUCUGGUGGAGGCUCGCAGCGGUUCUGACGUGCAAAUCGAUCGUCAAAUUUGGGUAUAGGGGCGAAAGACUAAUCGAACC